rnacentral:misc_RNA from 1 species
CUUCUUUUUCUUCUUCCAAGGAUUCGAAGCCCCAUGAGUACAUUUCAAUGCGAAAUUUAAAUGAAUCCAAACAAGGAUUUUGGGGUAAUCUUGCUAGGAAAGCUAAAUCCAUUCUCGAAGAUGAUAAUGCUCCUCAACAAGUGGAUUCACCUGGGAGAGCCCCCCAACAUGUUCCUCACGCUUCAACUAAACCCAAGUACCAGAAUCCGUACCCCUAUCAUGACAGUCAGAGAAAAACAGACAGUCCUACGUUACAGAAGGGACUAAAUGCGAUCUCAUCUUCCUUAAAUUACGUUGGUAAUGCUGUUGAGGAGGGUCUUACUAAGGUGGAGAAUCGGACUGCAGGCUUUUUCCUGAUGUGCUUACGAGUUUCUUGGGUGGUGCUGGUACACAGAAUCAGGCAAAUAGUCGUGGUAGCACAUGGCAACAACCACAAAUACAAACCCAAAAUCAAACUGACCAAGAACUUCAACUAAAAGCAUCUCGCGACGUUGCAAUGGCUAUGGCUGCCAAGGCAAAGCUUCUUCUCCGAGAGUUAAAAACUGUUAAAGCUGAUUUGGCUUUUGCUAAGGAGCGAUGUGCUCAGCUGGAGGAGGAAAAUAAAAUCCUUCGAGAGAAUCGUGAAAGAGGGGACAAUCCAGAAGAUGAUGAUUUGAUUCGGCUUCAACUUGAAACACUCUUAUCAGAGAAGGCUCGAUUAGCACAUGAGAACUCAAUCUAUGCUCGUGAGAAUCGCUUCCUAAGGGAGGUUGUUGAAUACCACCAGCUUACCAUGCAAGAUGUUGUAUACCUGGAUGAGGGCACUGAGGAAGUAACUGAAGUUUAUCCCAUCAAGGUAGCGUCCAAUACUCACUCCGUACCCUUGUCUCUACAGCCUUCACUACCUACUGAGGUUCUCCUUGAUUCUAGCCUUCGAACAAGUCGGGACAUUGCUCCCCGCCCCGUGCCACCACCAGGGCUUUUGGAGAAUACUCAAAGUGUCACCCCGCCAAGUUCAAAUGCUACUGCCGUGGAUACAAAAAAGCACACAAGCCC